rnacentral:rRNA from 1 species
UAGUCCUAGCUGUAAACGAUGGGCACUGGGUAGGGGUGGACUGACGCCUUCCCUGCCGGAGCUAAUGUAUUAAGUGCCCCGCCUGGGGAGUAUGGUCGCAAGGCUAAAACUCAAAGGAAUUGACGGGGGCUCACACAAGCGGUGGAGGAUGUGGUUUAAUUCGAAGCAACGCGCAGAACCUUACCCGGGUUUGAACUGUAGGGAUUAGGCUCCUGAAAGGGAGUUGACGCCGCAAGGUGGAACCUACAGAGGUGUUGCAUGGCUGUCGUCAGUUCGUGUCGUGAGAUGUCGGGUUAAGUCCCUUAACGAGCGAAACCCUUGUCGUUAGUUGCCAGCGGGUAAUGCCGGGGACUCUAACGAGACUGCCGUUGUUAAAACGGAGGGAGGUGGGGAUGACGUCAAGUCAUCAUGGCCUUUAUGCCCGGGGCUACACACGUCCCACAAUGGCCGGUACAAAGGGAUGCGAAUCCGCGAGGUGGAGCAAACCCCAUAAAGCCGGUCUCAGUUCGGAUCGGGGGCUGCAAUUCGCCCCGUGAAGUCGGAAUCGCU